AGGACAAACGCUGGCGGCGUGCAUAAAACAUGCAAGUCGGACGAGCCAAUCCCCGCAAGGGGAAAGGCUAGUGGCGAACGGCUGAGUAACACGUAGGUGACCUGCCCUGAAGUGGGGGAUAACGACUCGAAAGAGUCGCUAAUACCGCAUGUGACCACCGAUUCGUUUUCGGUGCUCAAAGUCGUAAGACGCUUUAGGAGGGGCCUGCGGCGGAUUAGCUAGUUGGUGAGGUAAUGGCCCACCAAGGCUUCGAUCCGUAGC
rnacentral:rRNA from 1 species